GUGGGUGCAGCUCAGUGGUAGAGCAUUUUACUGCAGAUGAAGAGGCCCCCCAGUUCAAAUCUGGGCACCCACU